GAUUGAUGGUGCUUGCACCUGAUUGAUUUUGGUCGCCAACGAGUGGCGGACGGGUGAGUAACACGUAUGUAACCUGCCCAGAAGCGGGGGACAACAUUUGGAAACAGAUGCUAAUACCGCAUAACAUCGUUGUUCGCAUGAACAACGCUUAAAAGAUGGCUUCUCGCUAUCACUUCUGGAUGGACCUGCGGUGCAUUAGCUUGUUGGUGGGGUAAUGGCCUACCAAGGCGAUGAUGCAUAGCCGAGUUGAGAGACUGAUCGGCCACAAUGGGACUGAGACACGGCCCAUACUCCUACGGGAGGCAGCAGUAGGGAAUCUUCCACAAUGGGCGCAAGCCUGAUGGAGCAACACCGCGUGAGUGAAGAAGGGUUUCGGCUCGUAAAGCUCUGUUGUUAAAGAAGAACACGUAUGAGAGUAACUGUUCAUACGUUGACGGUAUUUAACCAGAAAGUCACGGCUAACUACGUGCCAGCAGCCGCGGUAAUACGUAGGUGGCAAGCGUUAUCCGGAUUUAUUGGGCGUAAAGAGAGUGCAGGCGGUUUUCUAAGUCUGAUGUGAAAGCCUUCGGCUUAACCGGAGAAGUGCAUCGGAAACUGGAUAACUUGAGUGCAGAAGAGGGUAGUGGAACUCCAUGUGUAGCGGUGGAAUGCGUAGAUAUAUGGAAGAACACCAGUGGCGAAGGCGGCUACCUGGUCUGCAACUGACGCUGAGACUCGAAAGCAUGGGUAGCGAACAGGAUUAGAUACCCUGGUAGUCCAUGCCGUAAACGAUGAGUGCUAGGUGUUGGAGGGUUUCCGCCCUUCAGUGCCGGAGCUAACGCAUUAAGCA
rnacentral:rRNA from 2 species